GCAUAUCAAUAAGCGGAGGAAAAGAAACCAACAGGGAUUGCCUCAGUAACGGCGAGUGAAGCGGCAACAGCUCAAAUUUGAAAUCUGGCCCUAGGCCCGAGUUGUAAUUUGCAGAGGAUGCUUUUGGUGAGGUCCCUACCGAGUCCCCUGGAAUGGGGCGCCACAGAGGGUGAGAGCCCCGUAUGGUUGGACACCGAACCUUUGUAAAGCUCCUUCGACGAGUCGAGUAGUUUGGGAAUGCUGCUCUAAACGGGAGGUAAAUUUCUUCUAAAGCUAAAUAUUGGCCAGAGACCGAUAGCGCACAAGUAGAGUGAUCGAAAGAUGAAAAGCACUUUGAAAAGAGGGUUAAAAAGUACGUGAAAUUGUUGAAAGGGAAGCGCUUGUGACCAGACUUGUGCCGGGCGGAUCAUCCAGCGUUCUCGCUGGUGCACUCCGUCCGGCUCAGGCCAGCAUCGGUUUUCACCGGGGGACAAAGGCUUCGGGAACGUGGCUCCCUUCGGGGAGUGUUAUAGCCCGUUGCGUAAUACCCCGGCGAGGACCGACGACCGCGCUUCGGCAAGGAUGCUGGCGUAAUGGUCAUCAGCGACCCGUCUUGAAACACGGACCGAGGAGUCAAGCAUUAGUGCGAGUGUUUGGGUGUAAAACCCGCACGCGUAAUGAAAGUAAACGUAGGUGAGAGCUUCGGCGCAUCAUCGACCGAUCCUGAUGUUUUCGGAUGGAUUUGAGUAGGAGCAUUAACGCUUGGACCCGAAAGAUGGUGAACUAUACUUGAAUAGGGUGAAGCCAGAGGAAACUCUGGUGGAGGCUCGCAGCGGUUCUGACGUGCAAAUCGAUCGUCAAAUUUGAGUAUAGGGGCGAAAGACUAAUCGAACCAUCUAGUAGCUGGUUUCAGCCGAAGUUCCCCUCAGGA
rnacentral:rRNA from 1 species